rnacentral:rRNA from 1 species
UACGUAGGGUGCGAGCGUUGUCCGGAAUUAUUGGGCGUAAAGGGCUCGUAGGCGGUCUGUCACGUCGGGAGUGAAAACUCAGGGCUUAACCCUGAGCCUGCUUCCGAUACGGGCAGACUAGAGGUAUGCAGGGGAGAACGGAAUUCCUGGUGUAGCGGUGAAAUGCGCAGAUAUCAGGAGGAACACCGGUGGCGAAGGCGGUUCUCUGGGCAUUACCUGACGCUGAGGAGCGAAAGUGUGGGGAGCAAACGGG